UACAGCCAUAUCCAUUUGAAACACCAGUUCUCAUGCAAUCACCAAAGCUAAGCAACAUUGAGCCUUGUCAGUACCUAGAUGGGUGACCACUUGGAAAUACCAGGUGUUGUAAG